GACGAACGUUGGCGGCGUGCUUAAUACAUGCAAGUCAACUGAAGCAGUGGUAGCAAUAUCGCUGUGGAGGUGGCGCACGGGUGAGUAACACGUAGGUAAUCUGCCUUCAGGUCUGGCAUAACUCCGGGAAACCGGGGCUAAUAGCAGAUGAUGCAGCGGCUCGACAUCGAGACAGUUGUUAAAGCUAUGGCGCCUGAAGAUGAGCCUGCGUCUGAUUAGCUAGUUGGCGGGGUAACGGCCCACCAAGGCAACGAUCAGUAGCUGGUCUGAGAGGAUGAUCAGCCACACUGGAACUGAGACACGGUCCAGACUCCUACGGGAGGCAGCAGUAAGGAAUAUUGCUCAAUGGGAGAAAUCCUGAAGCAGCAACGCCGCGUGAUGGACGAAGGGCUUUUGCUUGUAAACCUCUGUAGUGAGAGAAAAAAAUCCCAAUCUUUGGGACAUGAUGGUAUCUCAAAAGUAAGCCCCGGCUAACUACGUG
rnacentral:rRNA from 1 species